rnacentral:rRNA from 1 species
AGCGAACGCUGGCGGCAGGCCUAACACAUGCAAGUCGAACGAAGCCUUCGGGCUUAGUGGCGGACGGGUGAGUAACACGUGGGAACGUACCUUUUGGUUCGGAACAACUCAGGGAAACUUGAGCUAAUACCGGAUGAGCCCUUAGGGGGAAAGAUUUAUCGCCGAAAGAGCGGCCCGCGUUAGAUUAGCUAGUUGGUGAGGUGAAGGCUCACCAAGGCAACGAUCUAUAGCUGGUCUGAGAGGAUGAUCAGCCACACUGGGACUGAGACACGGCCCAGACUCCUACGGGAGGCAGCAGUGGGGAAUCUUGCGCAAUGGGCGAAAGCCUGACGCAGCCAUGCCGCGUGAAUGAUGAAGGUCUUAGGAUUGUAAAAUUCUUUUACCAGGAACGAUAAUGACGGUACCUGGAGAAAAAGCCCCGGCUAACUUCGUGCCAGCAGCCGCCGUAA